rnacentral:lncRNA from 1 species
UCAACCAAUGUCCAUACAUCGUUGACCUUUAUGGACUCCAUUUCAGAUUUCAUGGCUUCAAGCCAUUUCUAGAAAUCAGGUCUCUGCAUUGCAUCCAUAUAGGUGAUUGGAUUCUCAUCAUUCUCAUCGAGUUCGAUGGGAUCACCGUCCUGGACCAAAAAACUGUAGUAUCUGUCCGACUGAUGCGGUACUCUAUCGGAUCGCCUUAAUGGUGCAGGUACAUUAGGCCCC